rnacentral:rRNA from 1 species
UACAGAGGGGGCAAGCGUUAUUCGGAAUUAUUGGGCGUAAAGGGCGCGUAGGCGGCCUGGCAAGUGGAUGGUGAAAUCCCUCGGCUUAACCGAGGAACUGCCAUCCAGACUGCUUGGCUUGAGACCGGGAGAGGUGAGUGGAAUUCCCAGUGUAGCGGUGAAAUGCGUAGAUAUUGGGAGGAACACCAGUGGCGAAGGCGGCUCACUGGACCGGUACUGGACGCUGAGACGCGAAAGCGUGGGGAGCGAACAGG